rnacentral:rRNA from 1 species
AUUGAACGCUGGCGGCAGGCUUAACACAUGCAAGUCGAGCGGUAGCACAGGGGAGCUUGCUCCCUGGGUGACGAGCGGCGGACGGGUGAGUAAUGUCUGGGAAACUGCCUGAUGGAGGGGGAUAACUACUGGAAACGGUAGCUAAUACCGCAUAACGUCGCAAGACCAAAGAGGGGGACCUUCGGGCCUCUUGCCAUCAGAUGUGCCCAGAUGGGAUUAGCUAGUAGGUGGGGUAAUGGCUCACCUAGGCGACGAUCCCUAGCUGGUCUGAGAGGAUGACCAGCCACACUGGAACUGAGACACGGUCCAGACUCCUACGGGAGGCAGCAGUGGGGAAUAUUGCACAAAGGGCGCAAGCCUGAUGCAGCCAUGCCGCGUGUGUGAAGAAGGCCUCCGGGUUGUAAAGCACUUUCAGCGAGGAGGAAGGUGGUGAACUUAAUACGUUCAUCAAUUGACGUUACUCGCAGAAGAAGCACCGGCUAACUCCGUG